UUGUGGGGGCUGGCAGGUCUGCUGGGAGGUUUUCCAUCUUGGAAGGGGAGGGAGUCUAGAAAUACCUUGGUCCAGGGGAGGAAAGGUUGGAAAAGCACAGUCCCUGGGCUGAGGUAACAGGCUAGUAGGCUUUCUCACCCCUGGGGCUGCAUUCCAAACGUGUACAGACAUUCAUUAGAUUGGACUAACUCAUUCCUCAUUCCAGGUGAACUAAUUUAGAUCGGGCCAGCCAUAUUUUGUCUGAUCUAACCUUGCUGAAUGUACAGGUCGGCACUUAGAUUGACUUAACCCUACUUAGGUAGGGUUCAAUCUAAGUGUAAUGUCUGCAUGUACCCGUUAAGGAUGUAGAUUUCACUGGGUGCAGAGCGACCUAUGAGUUACAGCACUUCACUCUCAAGUAAUCUGUUUACCUGUGAUCUUGCUCAGUUUCAUUGUUCUGGAUAUGAAGAUUGAGUCAGAUUACUUUUUCCUAACUGCAGACCAGGGACUUCCAUCUUCUCUCUGUUUAAUUAAUACUAAUUUCUUGACAGUAUGACAUUGCAUGUAAAUUUUAGAAUACAUAACAAAUAUUGUUCUUAAACCAGAACAAUUCCAAAAUGAGCCCCUCCAGAAAGAGGGCAUGCAAUGUCUACAGUGCGUUUGCUGGAAACAACCAUGGGUAGGAUUUGAACCUUCAGUGCACAGGCUUGGUGACCACAAAAUCUGGAACUGGCAAGUUAUGACAACAGACUACUCAAAAGCAGUCUGGCUUUAAGGAAACUUUGUCUUGCUGUGCAUCUUUGGUUUUUAGGUGCUUAGGCAUAGCCCAUGCUGAUCAGGCAUUAUUAACUUUACCCAUAAUAACUCAUUUCAGUAUUCAGCAGAGGGGCAGCAGGUGCUGAGUUGAAUUCCUAAUGCCUGGGAUUUAGCAUGGGGAGAAUUAGAGACAGAAUUUGAGUCCCCAGGUGUGUGCAAAAGGACUCAAUAAAACCAAAAUAAUAAUAAUAAAACAGUGUGGAGAACCAGGUGAUUUUGUAAAUGGCUAAUGUCUGACAGAGCCCCCUUUGCCCAAAUGAUCCCAAAUUCCAGUCACUAAAUUUAUCCUGCACUCAUAUAAUGCACAGCCUGUUUUAAGGUAAGCUGAAUCUUAUGUGGAUUUUAGACUACUUGCAGGUUUAGCUUCACAAAAAAAAUGCUUUAUAGCAGCCUUUACUACAAUAAGUAGUAAAAAAGAUGUAAUAAGUUGGGAAGAAGGUAGCAAGGGAAUCCUCUUGGAGGUGAUGGGUUUGGAUCACCUGCAUGGAAACUUUAAUUAAGUGCCUUCUCUCUUGUUUAAACCUUCCUUCACAACACCUGUCUUGGUUAAUCAUUAUAAUAUUGCCUCCCUGCAUUCUUCUAUGUGGGUUGUUGUCCUGUGACGUGCAUGGGGUCUAAGCUAAGCAGAAAAGACUUUUAGUCGCUUUUGGAAGACACUUAAUGAGUAUCACCAUGAAUAUGAUAUGGAGGGAAGUACAACCCACUGCUGUAGUUGCUUCCUAAGGGAAAUGGAUUAACAAACCAUAGGAGUCAAAGCCUGCAGCUGCUGAUAAUUCUGCUAUAGUCCCAAAGUCAGUGCCAGAGGCAGGACUCAACGUGUGGCCAGAAUGAGGAUGAGGCAAAGCUGGGAAGGAGCAGCAAGAGUGACAUGCCUCAGUGGGGUUUUAUCAGGGCUAAGGCCAGUAGUGAGGCUGUGAGCCUGGUGAGAUGCUGAUGAAGAACCUCUGUGUGGAGAAGGAAACCGCAUUCUCUUGUAGCCGUUCUCAACUAAUAAAUAAGAGCUUCCAAGCAA